CCUACGGGAGGCAGCAGUGAGGAAUAUUGGUCAAUGGACGCAAGUCUGAACCAGCAAUGCCGCGUGCAGGAAGACGGCUCUCUGAGUUGUAAACUGCUUUUGUACGAGGGUAAACGCAGAUACGCGUAUCUGUCUGAAAGUAUCGUACGAAUAAGGCUCGGCUAACUCCGUUCAAGCAGCCGCGGUAAUACGGAGGAUUCAAGCGUUAUCCGGAUUUUUUGGGUUUAAAGGGUGCGUAGGCGGUCGGAUAAGUUAGAGGUGAAGUCCCGAGGCUCAACUUCGGAAUUGCAUCUGAUACUGUUCGGCUAGAGAGUAGUUGCGGUAGGCGGAAUGUAUGGUGUAGCGGUGAAAUGCUUAGAUAUUACGAAGAACUCCAGUGGCGAAGGCAGCUCACUGGACUGCAACUGACACUGAGGCUCGAAAGUGUGGGUAUCAAACAGGAUUAGAUACCCCAGUAGUC
rnacentral:rRNA from 1 species